rnacentral:lncRNA from 1 species
AUGAAAGGGCAUAUAUGAGUAUGAAUUAGAGUUGCACAAAAUUCUAUCUACAAAUUUGAAGCAGCCCAAUCCAUCUUCUUUAUAAAAUAUUCUCUCUCAUUCAACUUCAAUUGCUUCUCUAUAAAGCCUAAAAAUUCAUCCUCCUAUUUUUUAUUUAUUAAAAUUAUACCUUUUGUUAUUACUUCAUCUGAAUGUCUAUGAUACUUUGAGAAAAUUAAGGCAGCAGCA